ACAAAGGCAGCCCAUCCUCUAGGGUAUCCAACAGGCUGCCUCUGUCUGGGAAGAGGCAUGACAGGGAUUUUUCAUAUUUGAUGGGCUGAAUUGGUCCUACCCUUUGAUUCAUUAUGGGCAAAAAAUCUUAAAUUGAGAUGCUGUCAGGCAAGUGCCCUUGGUGUUCAUUAUCAUAAGCUGGCAGGAGGCAAGACUGUCCUGUGAUGGUAAAGAACAGGAACUUUCCUCUAUCAGCAUCUUUCCAUCCAAGCUGCUGAGGCUGCCAGACAGAUCAAGGACUCAAAGGGCCUGCCAUUUGAAGUCUCUGCAGUUUGAAGAUGUGCUGUCAGGGAUCAGUGUGGAGAAGGCUUUUGUUCUGCUGCUGGAGAGAAAAAGGACUGACCCUGCCUGCAUUUUGAGUACCCUGUAAGAAGAACUUGUGCCCAUAGAAACAGACAUAAUGGAUGACUGUGCAGAUGUAAUCCCACCAGUUGGUGUCUACCACAAGGGCUCUGCUUUCUGCCAGAGGAUGAGUCAAUUAUGGAGCCCUGGCAAUCCAAGCAAGGCUGGGAUCAAGCACAGCACCUUUUCCUCCUCUCCUCUGUCUUGGCAGCCCCUGCUUGAUGCUCAGCUGAGAUGGACACACUCAGACACACCAAUGCUUUUAUUCAUGCACACACAGGAAAGGUUUGACCUUGCUCCCAUUGCUGGGUUUCAGUGUGAUUUAGCAGGUGCAGCAGAAGGAGAUUCACUGGAGGAGAUGCUGGCAUCCUUUGUACCAGCAUUAAUUUGAGGUGAAUUUCUGACUCCAAGUGCCCUGCUCCAAAUAUAUUGCAGUAUAACAGAGAACAAAACAUUACUCCAAAGUACAAAAUUUACUGUUGCGGCCUGCAUGAGAAAACAAUUCUCCGUAACUUCCAUAAUCAGACCUUGGAAGCAGAUGACUUUGUGAGUAGUUGGCUGCAGCAGCCAAACACUCAAGCACAGAAUAAUGCAGGUGAUCCCAGCUUCCCUGAGCUCCCAGGGCUUGGCUGUGCAGGCUGAGGAGCAGAUGGGUUCUUUGGUCACAUUACUCAUUCAGCUGAAGCUCAGCACUUUGUUUAAUGCUCUGCUGUCUGAGGCUGGAGUGGCCAGCACGCUGCAGAUUUGAACCUGUUCUUCCGACCACAUCAAAGGAAUCUGGUCCUGGGCCAGAUUUGGAUCUCCCACCAGUUUUAACUGGUAUAAACUGUGUGAUAACUGGUAACUGAGCUGUGUGUAAUAACUAUAUUACUUAAGAUCUCCAAGCACAUAAUUUGAUUAGUGCA